rfam:Nannochloropsis gaditana mitochondrion, complete genome.
GAGAAAGUAACUCAGUGGUUAGAGUGUUGACCUGUCACGUCAAAAGCCGCGGGUUCGAAUCCCGUUUUUCUCG